rnacentral:lncRNA from 1 species
AGAUGCACCACGGCGGUCAGCAGGACUGACCCUCUCUGCAGCUGAUCCUCAGCAACCCAGAACUGCUCCAAGCCACAACAGCAAAAACACAAAGACAUGGUACAGCGAGUAGAAGACGCCCAGGGUGCCAGUGAGCAGUGCUCUACCUUCCUGGGGCGCACGGACAGGAGCAGUGGGUGUCUGUAGUGUGAAAUUCUUCAACACGGUCUUUCUGAGAUGGGCCAAUGCUUUGGUCGUUGCUGGAGCCCAUCUGAGGAGCCAAGCAGGCGUGGAUAAGCGCUGUCAGGGACCCAAGGACCAAGCUGCUAAUCAGGAUCUAACAAGACUUUGCCCAUCUUCAGCCAUCAGCAGUGAGGAGACUGGGUACUUCUCUCCAGUCUGGGAAACAGCUGAGCUUGGCUCGGAGCUCUGCUGUCU